UUAAUUGCAUCUUCCUCUUUCAAGCUUAUAAAAGUUAGGUAUAUUUUAGUUGAUUCCAUCAUUUUUUAUACUACUAAUAAUAAUUUUCAUUUUCUUUGCUUUUAAUUCUAACUUGCUUUCAGUUAACUUCCAUUUAGUAAAAUCAUGAAUUUUAUGUAUCUAUGCUUAGUAGUAUUUUUACAUAAGGCAAUUAGGUAGUUAUUUACCAAUAUUUUUAUGGUAUGACUGUGUCCCCACCUGAAUCUCAUCUUGAAUUUUAGCUCCCAUAAAUCCCACAAGUGGGAGGGAGCCAAUGGGAGAUAAUUGAAUUACAGAGGCAGUUUCCCCUAUAGUAUUCUCAUGGUGGUGAAUAAGUCUCAGGAGAUUUGAUGGAUUUAUAACGGGGUUUCCCUUUCACUUGUUUUUUAUUCUCUCUAGUCUGCCACCACAUAAGAGGUACAUUUUGCCUUCUGCCAUGAUUGUGAGGCCUUCUCAGCCAUGUGGAACUGUGAGUCCAUUAAACCUCUUUUUCUUUAUAAAUUACCCAGUUUCAGUAAUUUAUAAUGAAAUUAUCAGCAGCAUGAAAAUUGACUCAUAUAAAUAUGAUACUUCUUUUCUCUUUAGAAUAAAAUUGAAUAAGGAGGUCAGUGAAACACUUGUAAUUACAACAAACAUUCAGCUUCAAGAAAAGUGUACACCAAAGUGAAAUUAAUGGCACUGUAAGGAUUUUAGACUGCUAUAAUGGGGAGGCCCAUUAGAUUUUGGAGCCUGGGAAAGUAUCAACUUUGGAUAUUGUUUCUGAUUUUCAAAUGUCUUCUUUCACCAGCAAUCAUUCUCACUCAUAAACUUAAAAGAAGAAUGUAAAAUUAGGACCUAUAGUUUUGGGUCCCUGUCUUGUUUACUGCUACAGUAGAGAGGGCUGGGGGAAAGGCACCCUGACUUGAAAUUUCAGUUUAUUUAUUGAAUUCUAAAUUCCUACUUUCUUUUAUUAUGUUGUCUUUUAUUCUUUUAUUGGUUUAUGUUGCUAAGGUUUUCUUUAUAGCUAGGGAUAGUCUCAUUUUUUUUGUUAGCCUUCAUUUCAUUUAUGAUUGGCCAGAAGGCAUUAGCUUGAGCUCUAUUAAACUAAUUGGUGGAAAAAUGUAUUCUCUGGGAUUUUUAUUUGUUUUCAUGUUGAGCUACUAUCUUACCCCUCAGUCUGCUUCUG
rnacentral:lncRNA from 1 species